rnacentral:lncRNA from 1 species
AUGUUCCCACUAAGAGAAUACCUGUCGCUUGAGCAGAGGAACGACUCUUCCUGUGGGAGACUGAAUUUCUGGCCUGAUUUCUCCAUCCUUCACUGUAGUUAUGACCUUGAAGAACUUCACACUGCAGGUGGGGUGAUAUUCAUGCUUCUUGAUUCUGGCCUAUGCUACAGCAUUCUGUGCUAGUGGAUGUGAUACAAACAAAAGCUUGAAAUGGUCUUCAAUAAUAAAGUUGCUGUUUUGAACCUUGGACAUUAACUGAUUAGCCUACUGCUCCCAGGAGGGGAAUGAGAAAUACGUGCAGCAGAGGUAACCUAAAGAAGCAG